rnacentral:rRNA from 1 species
AACGUAGGACUCGAGCGUUAUCCGGAGUUACUGGGCGUAAAGCGCGGGCAGGCGGAUGUCUAAGUCUGACGUGAAAGCUCCCGGCUCAACCGGGAGAGGCCGUUGGAGACUGGAUGUCUGGAGGGCAGUAGAGGGAUGUGGAAUUCCGGGUGGAGUGGUGAAAUGCGUAGAGAUCCGGAGGAACACCAGAGGCGAAGGCGGCAUCCUGGGCUGCACCUGACGCUGAGCCGCGAAAGCCAGGGGAGCAAACGGG